CGCUGGCGGCGUGCCUAACACAUGCAAGUCGAGCGAGGAGAUCCUUCGGGAUGAUCCUAGCGGCGGACGGUGAGUAACACGUGGGCAACCUGCCUCAUAGAGAGGAAUAGCCUUCCGAAAGGGAGAUUAAUACCUCAUAACAUUGCAGUUUCGCAUGGAACAGCAAUUAAAGGAGUAAUCCGCUAUGAGAUGGGCCCGCGGCGCAUUAGCUAGUUGGUGAGGUAACGGCUCACCAAGGCGACGAUGCGUAGCCGACCUGAGAGGGUGAUCGGCCACAUUGGGACUGAGACACGGCCCAGACUCCUACGGGAGGCAGCAGUGGGGAAUAUUGCACAAUGGGGGAAACCCUGAUGCAAGCAACGCCGCGUGAGUGAUGACGGCCUUCGGGUUGUAAAGCUCUGUCUUCAGGGACGAUAAUGACGGUACCUGAGGAGGAAGCCACGGCUAACUACGUGCCAGCAGCCGC
rnacentral:rRNA from 1 species